rnacentral:rRNA from 1 species
CACAGGUGGUCGGGUAGAGAAUACCAAGGCGCUUGAGAGAACUCGGGUGAAGGAACUAGGCAAAAUGGUACCGUAACUUCGGGAGAAGGUACGCUCUUGAUGGUGAAGUCCCUCGCGGAUGGAGCUGACGAGAGUCGCAGAUACCAGGUGGCUGCAACUGUUUAUUAAAAACACAGCACUGUGCAAAAUCGCAAGAUGACGUAUACGGUGUGACGCCUGCCCGGUGCCGGAAGGUUAAUUGAUGGGGUUAGCGCAAGCGAAGCUCUUGAUCGAAGCCCCGGUAAACGGCGGCCGUAACUAUAACGGUCCUAAGGUAGCGAAAUUCCUUGUCGGGUAAGUUCCGACCUGCACGAAUGGCGUAAUGAUGGCCACGCUGUCUCCACCCGAGACUCAGUGAAAUUGAAAUCGCUGUGAAGAUGCAGUGUACCCGCGGCUAGACGGAAAGACCCCGUGAACCUUUACUACAGCUUGGCACUGAACAUUGAACCUACAUGUGUAGGAUAGGUGGGAGGCUAUGAAGACGUGACGCCAGUUGCGUUGGAGCCGUCCUUGAAAUACCACCCUUGUAUGUUUGAUGUUCUAACUUAGACCCAUUAUCUGGGUUGAGGACAGUGCCUGGUGGGUAGUUUGACUGGGGCGGUCUCCUCCCAAAGAGUAACGGAGGAGCACGAAGGUGGGCUAAUCACGGUUGGACAUCGUGAGGUUAGUGCAAUGGCAUAAGCCCGCUUAACUGCGAGAAUGACGGUUCGAGCAGGUGCGAAAGCAGGUCAUAGUGAUCCGGUGGUUCUGUAUGGAAGGGCCAUCGCUCAACGGAUAAAAGGUACUCCGGGGAUAACAGGCUGAUACCGCCCAAGAGUUCAUAUCGACGGCGGUGUUUGGCACCUCGAUGUCGGCUCAUCACAUCCUGGGGCUGAAGUCGGUCCCAAGGGUAUGGCUGUUCGCCAUUUAAAGUGGUACGCGAGCUGGGUUUAGAACGUCGUGAGACAGUUCGGUCCCUAUCUGCCGUGGGCGUUGGAAGAUUGAAGGGGGCUGCUCCUAGUACGAGAGGACCGGAGUGGACGAACCUCUGGUGUUCGGGUUGUGUCGCCAGACGCAUUGCCCGGUAGCUAAGUUCGGAAUUGAUAAGCGCUGAAAGCAUCUAAGCGCGAAGCGAGCCCUGAGAUGAGUCUUCCCUGAUACUUUAAGUAUCCUAAAGGGUUGUUCGAGACUAGAACGUUGAUAGGCAGGGUGUGUAAGCGUUGUGAGGCGUUGAGCUAACCUGUACUAAUUGCCCGUGAGGCUUAACCAU